CGAGAGACAAAGAUCCUGAGGCGAAGAUUGGGCAUCCGGCUUAGGAACUGGGCCAGUCUGAAAGAGCAGUUGGCACACGGAGACCAGGAGCAGAACCAGGUGAUGGAGUAGCUGAGCAUCCUCCCUCCGAUGUCCGAAGUCAAACGACAAGGAAUCUGGACCCUUCCGACUUUUCACCACAAAACAGAGAUGGCAGUAAACUGAGCCAACAGGAUGGAACUUUCCGAACACUUAAGACUCACCCAGUCACUGGCCUCUCCACUUUGGUUUUCCCAGAUCGUUAAGUAAAAACUUCCAGAUACGUUUUCACCUUCAUCCACACUGGGACUGCCGCUAACCCACUAACCCUGCUGCUAUUUACCUUCAAACCAUGAUAGUCGACCACCUCCUCUGGGCCCCUGGAUCUGGUGGAACUAUAGGCGUUCCCAGACUUCUGAGGGCCUUACUUUGUCCUCUGAUCUGGGUUUUCCCAAACUGUGUCAGGCUGAGAGCAGAACUGUAAUCGACCUCCCUCACCCUACGUGUCUGCUAGACUGGCCGGGCAGCUGACCGACCACAGUUUGUGGAUAAAUCUCACUCAUAAGCCUUUGAACCAUCAGAUGCUGUCAUCACUCGGUGCCAAAUCAGGAUGUGUAUUAUUUUGCUCUCUGCUCUGUCUGUUUUAGCUCUGGCCCAGUCUGCUCACUCAGUGGCACUGCAUGCAGGCAUCCUGCUUUCCCAUGACUCCCCUCACCCUCUCAUGCACUCUGUGGUUUGGGGAAUUCACCGUUUCCCAGGGUAGCUGUUUUUGGAGCUCAUCUGUGUGCGUACGUGUGCAUGUGUGUGUGUGUUAGCCAUCUGUAUGGGCAUGUCAUUAACACAGUCUAUAUGUUAUACAUCAUCUGGAACUAAUUUAUCUAAUUUAUCCUAUGAUUGUGUGGUGCCCUGAAAAUUUAGAAUGAUUCAUGAGCGUGUGUGUGUGCAUGUGUGUGUGUGUGUGUGUGUGUGUCUGCAUGCUCUGAGAAACCUCACAUCAUAUUGCAUUACUCUGACAGUGCACUAAGCCUAAUGUCUCUGCACAUUUGAUCUUGUGUUCAUACGUCUUUUCUCGUCUUCGAGACGCUGAUCGAGUGGCAAGCUAUAUGUAACCACUUCCCACCCGGCUCUCUGGGUUUGACCACCGCUGACCAAGGUCAUGGCACAGUCACACGUGAACGCUCACGUGCACUACCCUCUCACACACUGCGUAUGCGUGUGUCCACGUUAGAGUAAUAGAGUACGGUGCAUUUAACCCAUAGCGAAAGGCAGAAGCCGGGUGUAAGAAAUGCCAAGUCAUAUUUUCCGAAACCCACCCGCCCACACCCAUGCACACGUGUGCGCACGCGCGCUCACACACACACACACGCUGCCAUACCGUGCAGACGCAUACGACCACAGUCACAAACAGACUUUCUUUCCAGUGUGUGAACUCACAUCUGUUUCCUGACAACAAUAAUAGCUACAGAUCAGGCGGGUAGAGGCCCAGCUUACAGGUGUCCGCUGCUUGACAGUCAUGAGGAAACAACCUGAUGAUGACCAAGAAGUGUCACAAGUGAAAAUACAGCUUUUACAGGGUGGAAAAUAUCUGGACCACACACUUACUC